rnacentral:rRNA from 1 species
AUUGAACGCUGGCGGCAUGCUUUACACAUGCAAGUCGAACGGCAGCGCGGGCUUCGGCCUGGCGGCGAGUGGCGAACGGGUGAGUAAUGCAUCGGAACGUGACCAGUAGUGGGGGAUAGCCCGGCGAAAGCCGGAUUAAUACCGCAUACGACCUGAGGGUGAAAGCGGGGGACCGAAAGGCCUCGCGCUAUUGGAGCGGCCGAUGUCGGAUUAGCUAGUUGGUGGGGUAAAGGCUUACCAAGGCGACGAUCCGUAGCUGGUCUGAGAGGACGACCAGCCACACUGGGACUGAGACACGGCCCAGACUCCUACGGGAGGCAGCAGUGGGGAAUUUUGGACAAUGGGGGCAACCCUGAUCCAGCCAUGCCGCGUGCGGGAAGAAGGCCUUCGGGUUGUAAACCGCUUUUGUUCGGGAAGAAAUCCUCUGGGCUAAUACCCCGGGGGGAUGACGGUACCGGAAGAAUAAGCACCGGCUAACUACGUG